CACACACACACACACAAGUAAGAAUAAAAAUAAAACUAAGGUAGAAAAGUAAAGGACAACAUUUGGAUGUCAACUUCUGAUUAUUACAUGUGCAUACAUGGGCAAGGCAAUACACAAGCACAUAUGCAUGUGUCACACACAAAGACAAAUAUCCACACAUGAGAAUAGGCAUGCAUGCAUUGGAAUAAUGGACUGCACAAACAUGGAUAUUUAGUUUUAGCAACAGAGGAUGGAUACGAAUAUUCUUUAAGGUUUUUAUUUUUCUUAUUUUUAAUUGUAUGUAUAUGUUCAUGUCAGUACAGGUGCCCUCAGAAAUGAGAGAUACCCGAUUUCUCUGGAUCCGGUGCUAUAGGCUCAUGUGUGUGCUAAGAACUAAACUCAGGUCCUCUGCAAGUACAGUCAGGGCUCUUAGCUGCUGAGCCAUCUCUCCAGCUCUACGAAUAAUAUGUUUAACCUGUUACCAUCUGACACCCGGAUUUAUUUAACUUGGUGAAAGCUAUAAUUAGCCAAAGUUCAACCCUGGUUCUGUUUUAUGUUCGCCAAAGUUGCUCUUUUCAUCUUUUUUUGUGGAGAAAAAAUCUCUCAGCUGGAAGAGAGGGCUUCUCUUCCCACUGUUGUUUGGCUUCCUGUCUUAAUUACAAAGCGAGAUGGCCUGCUCCUGCCAUUUGAGCUUACUUUACCCACCAGCUUUCCCUCAGUACUACUGUCAAUAUGCUCUCCAUGGUUCAUCUUCUUUGUCAACUUAAUGGGAUGGAGAGUCACCAUGGGAACACACUUCUGAGUGUAUUCAUGUGGGUGGCUCUCAAAAACAAAAAAACAAAAAACAACCCUGUUUAAUGGAGAAGCCCCAUUAUAACUGUGGGUAGCAACAUCCCAUAGGCUGAGACCCUGGACUGAUAAUUAAAAAAGAGAAAGCAUAAAGCCAGGCGUUGGUGGUGCACACCUUUAAUCCCAGCACUCAGGAGGCAGAGGCAGGUGGAUUUCUGAGUUCGAGGCCAACCUGAUCUACAGAGUGAGUUCCAGGAGAGCCAGGGCUACAGAGAAACCCUGUCUCGAAAAAAAGAGAGAGAGAGAGAGAGAGAGAGAGAGAGAGAGAGAGAGAGAGAGAGAGAGAGAGAGAGAGAGACUGCUGAGUACCAGCACUCACUCCUCUGAGCUCCCUGAUGGGUGUAAUGUGACCAGUGACCUUCUGCUCCAAUCAUGUGCCUUCUCAACUACGAGAAGCUGCACUCUCAAGCUGUGAGCCAUGACAAACCCUUCUUUCCUUCCAUGAGUUGCUUUUGUUACUUCUUUUGCCACAGCAAUGAGAAGAGUAACUAAUAAUGGAGACACUUUGGAAGGCAGAUAGGAGAUUUUGAGGCUGCAGUAAUUCCCUGAGAUCUAUGUCCCCACCACUAUCUUUACCAUGGCUCAGCACUUGUCCCCCCAGCAGGAACACAGUUCAACUCCCACUGCUACCUCUGUCUAUGCAGCUGUUCCUUACCUGCUCCUACCUCUGUCUUGCUGCUCUGCUGCUUACCACAGGCUUCUGCUCUUCCCCUGCCCCCUUCGCCAUGUGACUACCUAGCUGCUCAUUCGGAUUUGAAUUGCAUGCUGCUCACCCUUCCCAAUAGAGCUAGUGACCUGGAUUCAGAAUUGAUUUCUUUUAAAGUAGUUUUUCUUUUCUAAUUUGAAAGUUAUAAUCAGUUAUUAUUGUGUCUGUAUGUUUGUGUGUGUGUGUGUGUGUACUUUGUGGGUAGGCAUAUGUAUCACAGUUCAUAUGUACAAGUGAGGAAAAUUGGUCAGAAGUUGGUUCACUCUUUCAAUCACCUGGGCCCGAGGGAAUCAAACUUGGUGGUGGUAAAUACCCUUACCACCAGCAUUUUUACUGGCCUCUCUUGACUGCUGGUUUCAUCCACUAUAGUGUUGUAAAUGGACUUGCAUUCCCUUCAGAGAGCAGACCCAACCUCCCAGUUCUAGCCUCGCUUCUAGGGUCCCAUUUCUAUCCCUCUUAGUGAGUCCUUCACUGAGGCUAUACAGUGUUUCCUACCCUCUAAUCCCACAUAGCAGGGGCAAGCCUGGUGAGAGGUCUUAGGACAUUCUCCAAGGAUCUUUUGAUAGUGCCAGCAUCCCAAAGUAUCCCAUCGCCUGUGUGAGAUGGAAAAUAUCUGUGUGCUCUAUUUAAGGGGAAGUGUUUCCAAUAUGGCUAUGCAUCGGAUACAACUUGAUAGAGACACUUUGUUCCGUCUGUAGGGUAAUAGAGCAAUUUUCAUAGUUAUGUGUAAGAAUUGCUCAAAGUAAGCUCAAUAAAAUUACCCCAAAUAGCUUAGCCUGAGGAGUAUAAUUUCUGUAUGGAAGCUUUACUUACUAAACAACCUUCCCCUAUUAAACACACACACACACACACACACACACACACACACACACACACACACACACACACUGAACAAAAACAAAGGCCCUCACACUCUUGACUCUCAGACAUAUUUUUGCCCUUCUCAGAAAUAUGAUUUCCACCAGCUAUUCUAAAUUCCAUAAAGAGUGAUUACAGCAUAUUCUUGGGUUAGCAUUUCAUGGGUUUUGGUUCUAAUACAUUAAGAAUUUAUUAUAAAACUGAAUAUUGCAUAACUUUGUGUUAUAUAAUGGAGUAUUAUAUGGUCAUUUCUUAGAUUCACAAGAAUUUGAGCCCAGGACAGAAAAAUCAUUUUUGCUAAAAGUUGAUGUUUAAUUAAUUAUGCCUUUCUUUCCAUUUUGGGAUAUAGAGAUAAAAACACAUUAUCUGACCUUGCCAUCUUGCUGACAGAUGCAGAGGGAAUGUCUUUCAAAUGUUCUUUGGAAAGGCAUUUAACGAAUAUACCCAUCAUGGUGUGAUCUCACUUGAAUCUAAUUUUUAUCAGUAUUUCUUAAGGUCUAUCACAAUAACUCUUGUUUCAACAACUCCUUUCCCUAACAACAUUUCUUCCUCUGCAUGUCUAUCAUCAGCGAGGUCUCUGUCUCGCUUUGGACGGCACCUUGGCUCAUGCCAUUAUUUUUCCCUUCCUUUCUACUUCUUUGGGAUUCCCAUUAUAAAAUGCUUUUGAAUACAAUUAUUCCACAGCUAUAGUCGAAAGCUUCUUCAAGGUUCUCCACUACUAUAACAGCAUGAUUAUCUAGAGGCUGCCUAAGAGUGGAGCCUUCAGUGGCUACAAAGAUUCUCUGAGGUCAGCAUAGGUGGGAAGGAUGAGAACAGUCAAAGGAUUUCCCUUUGGGAAUGUCUGCUCAUCAGUGCAUCAGGAAACAUUUAGGAAGCCUCCACUGUGCACGGAAUCCUGAUGAUAAGCUAUAGGAGGUGAACAGAAGGUCAUUAGUUCAAUCUAUGAGAUCAAUGAAAUACCCAAAAUGCACAGAUGAGGAAAAGAAUUCUAAAGAAUUCUAAAGGCAUCACAAACAAAAGAGGUUAUAGCAGGAGGGCCAGGCUGAGGCCUGGUGGAUACAAUGUUUACUUAGCAUGCAGGAAGCCCAGUGUAGGACCCUGGCAUGCAGGGUUUAUACCUGUCAUCCCACCACUUGGGAGGUGGAGGCAGGGGAACCAAAACUUAAAGUCAUUCUCAGCUACAUAGAAUGUUGGAGGCCAAUCUGAGCUAUAGGAUGUUAUAUCUCCCAAAGAAAUAGUGGUAGGGUAGUAUUGGGGGAAGUGACAGGGACUGGGUGGGGAGGGGUGCUUGCAGUGUGUUAGCAGCACAGGCUAGCCUGUGACAGGAAACAGUCGAUAUAGCAACUUGAUGCAGGAGGGAGAGACUGUGCUCUCACAGCCAAUCUCCAUAUCUCCUUGUCAGGGCUUUUCACACAGUAUAACCUCACAGUGAAACAUGAUGGUGAUUGGGCCUUCCAUGGGGCAGGUAGAUCAGACCUGUGGGCAGAUCAGCAGCCAGGUCCUGAAGGUGGCUCAGGCUUGCUCUGGGUCUUCCCUAAGUGUCCCUUUUGUCUUUGGCUGUGAAGCAGAUCAGAGGGAGGAAGCGACUCAGUGCAGCCUGAACGUAUUCUGAGAUCUAAGAGAUACAGAAAUGCCUCAAAUUUCCAUUUUUAUCACUAAUUACUUUAACAGGUUCUUUAAUAAGUGCCUUCCAAUUGCCCCUGCUGUUCCAUAAAAUUAUCUACACUGCUUUUUUUUUUUUUUUUGCAUUUUAAUCAUGUUUUAGUUUUCAAAAGUUAGAACUCUCCAGAAGCUUUGUGCUCUUUAUAUUCAGGGGGGUGGAUUUCUCUUCUGAUUUUACUAAGCUCCGCAGAUUAGGAGGGGGAAAAAAGACCAAUGUUUUUCUUUUUCCUUUUUUUUUUUAAGACCUAAUGGAAACCACACUGGUAGUCCCUGGAGUUUAAUGUACCAUUUAUUAGGAAGAAAUAAGCUACCUUCUGCUCUGAGGAGGAAAGAUACAUGCACUGUAUGAAGUCGUUUGCCUGAAUUUACCUUAUAGAGGGCCAUGUUACUAUGCUGAGUAAGUCGUUAUCCUCGUUUUUAAGGAACAGGACACUGAGAUGGUAAAUGGCAAGGAAGUUGUCCACAGUCACAGGACUGUGUCUAUCCCAGGGAGAAUGCAUCUGGGGCUUUCUCUGGGGUCGGUUUCCUGUCUCAGACUAAACACUUCUCUAAUACUCAGCUUCGCCUCUCCCAUGGCAAGAGGGUAUUAAUGACCCCAUUGGGAUCUCUUACAAAGCAAGUCUCAUAUCAUAAGAGUUGCUUAUUUCAGCCUAAAAUGCCAAGCUUAUGUUUCGGUUCCAUUCCCAUUGGAUGAAUUAUGUUGUCAUGGUGAUUUUUUUUUCCUAAAUGAUUUAAACUUAUUUUCAACCCCACCUUUUGGGUGAAGAAACCAAUCCAACAGUUAAAAUGGCUUGCUGAAUGAAGGUCUCAUAACUAGUACUUGAAGCCCAGAAAGCCUGAUUACAGAGUUCAUGCUUGUAAUUUUACUCAAUUAAAUUCACUUAAUGAUGGUUUGUCAAGGACAAUUUACUAAAAUAACAAUAUAAAUUAAUUAGACAACGAAAUGGACUGCAUAGAAUUAAGGAAAUAUCUUCAAAUGCAAUAUAUCUUUGCUGUCUGGAUUCAAGCACAAGCCAUCCACUUAAUAAAAAAUAUUUUACUAGCAUUAGUGUUAUAUUAUGAUUGUCUAACAAUGGUUUAUGUGCAUUUAUCAAUUAUGUCUAAUGUGAUUUUGUCAUUUGCGUACAUGUAUAUGUAAUGCAUUUGACCUUAUUCAUUCCAUUAUCACCUUCUCUUGUUCCCUCCCACUCCUGCUAAUCAAUUUCCUCUUCCCAAAGAGUCAUAGAACUUCCACGUCUCACUGUGUAACUCAAUGAGUUUCAUUAUUGUUUCUUACAGAGGUAUGGGCAAGUGGUUAUUUACAGAAACAGAGGCAAUUUACCAGUACCCACAGCACGGAAGGAAAUGCCCCCCCCCCCAUAGUAACUAUACACCAUGAUUGGUUUUACUGGCUAUUAGUUCUUUCUUAAGUUUCUUCCUUUUUUCUUCUCAAGGAAACACAAUUCUGUUCAUGCAUGUGGACAUAACUGGAACACAGAACUAAGCUGAACUGCAGCAACCUCUUAAAGAGAGUGCUCCCUGAAUCCUAGGUCCUGAGUCCUGGGAUCAGAGGCAAAUGUGUGCCACCACAUCCAGUUCAGCAGUCCUGGUGACUGAAGCUGAGGCUUUGUACAUGCUAGCAAUGGGCCCGACUGUAACCAGGAGACAGUUUUGCAUCUGAGACACCGGCAUGCAGAACACCUCUUUAUUCUGCCUUCCUCAUUUUAUGGCAAGUUCUAUUGCAACCAUAAUGGUAACGGCCCUCUGCACGCAUCUCAUUAUGAGCUUUCUACAUUAAUCCAAGGAUCUCCAUGACUGCUUUGCCUGGCGUCAAACAGCACACAGUGAAAUAUGAAGAAAACUUAUCAGAAAACAUCUGUAUGCAUUUCAUCUCGGAGAACACACACUGGGGUCUACUUUGCAAUUCUGAUUAUCUUCACAACAUAAAUACACACCUAUUGUGCAAUCUGAUCCCAGUGACACGAUCUUUAUCCGCCUUUCCUGGAUGUUUAGCUGUUCCCAGAGGGGGAAACAAUCAGAAGAUUGAAGCACAGGCUGAAAACCAUUCUCUCUUUCAGAAGAACUUGCGAUUUGAAUUUACAGAGGUCACAGUUCAUUCCUGAAGGAAGCCAAGGCGGGGAAUAAAGGCUGGAAUCUUCAGACAGGCCUACUUGCUACUCUACACAGAAUUACUUCUGAUUGAGGAACUCACUUCACACUCCAAAAAUAUGGCAGGAACCAGGGAAGACACUACCUACUGGCCAGCAGGCAAGCAGGCAAGCAGGCAAGCAGGCUAAUGCUCAGUUAGCUUUCUUAUAGAGUUAGGAUCACCUGCCUGGGGGAUGGUGCUACCCAGAGUGGGCUGGGUCUUUCUAUAUCAAUUAACAAUCAAGACAACCCCCCCCCCCAAACUAGACAUGACCACAGGCAAAGAUGAUUCUAAACAAUUCCUAAUUGAGUUUAUCUCCCUGGAUAACUGCUCUUUAUGUCAAAUUGACAGUUAAAGCUAACCAGGAUACUACCCUGUGACACAGCACAGAAAGUAGACACUGGCAAUCUAGACCAGACCUUGGUCACCACUCUGUUCCGAAUACCUUCUGUGACCUUGCAUGAGACAAGUAUUGAUGUAAGUGUUCAUAACACUGGGUGGAGUAGACUGUUUGAUCUUGAAAGCUGAAAUAUAAUAUCCUCUGAUUGUAUUAUUCCUGAGCAUAAGCACAUUUAAAGGGCAAGUAUUUUGAUCAUGUUACAAGAUUAUUAGAUUCCCAUCCUUAUUUGGGGACCCAUCUAUUAUGUCCACAGUGCUGUUGUCUGCAACAGAUUAUUAGGACACCAAACCGAAUAUAUUUAAUUCAAUUUGUCCAAAGUGUAAGCAUAUUGGCAAGCACAAACAGACCCUUAAAUGGCUUUUAAUUGGUUGAUUUGCUGAAAGCUAUUGCAAUAUGCACUCUUCUACAGGCCUUGGAAAAGGGAUAAAGGUGAACAUUAGAAAUGAUGGUCUAGCAGGCAGGAGGCUCUUUAGGCAGAAAACAAUGAAUGCGAAGUAGAUUGGCAAAGGUGAAGGAGCUAUCUCUCUGGGCCACCGCCUCCCACUUCAGUGAAACUCGGAAGUAAGGAUCCAGGGAAGUAAGUUCUGUUUACUAACAUGGGGUAGAAUGACCUCAACAAGUAAUUACCAUAAUUGAAUACAUAAUACAUAAAUUAACAUAGAAUUCACAUUUGUGUAUAAGUGCACGUAUGUUUGGGCAUGUUGGUAUGGAUAUACAUGAAUAUGUUUCAUUUCCAUUCAUUUCUGUUUCUGUGACAAAUACCCAGUCCAAAAAAUAAAAAACAAAAACAAAAAAACAAAAAACAAAAACAAAAACAAAAAAACUUUUGGGUAGAAAGGGUUUAUUGGUCUUAUAAUUCCGGCUCCUGGCUCAUUACUGAAAGCAGUCAAAGCAGGAACUAAAAUCCGGGAAUUUUCAGACAGAGUUACUUGCUAUUCCACACAGAAUUACCUCUGAAUGAGAAGUGUGUGUGUGUGUACCAGAAUACAACCUUAAGUGUCAUUUCUCAGUUUUCAUAUACCUUGUGGUUGGUUUGCUUUGUUUAUUUGUAUUGUUCUGUUGUUUUGUUUUGUUUUUUUCCCAAACAGCAUCUGUCACUGGCCUGGAACUCAAGUAGGCUAGGUUAGCUAGCCACUGAACCCCAGGAAUCCUCCAUCUUUCCUGUAGUAGGAUUACAAGUGUGUACUACCACCCCUGCCUUCUUUCGUGUGAGUUCUGGGGCUCGAAUUCCUGUCUUUUUUUGAAGCAAGUGUUUUACCAUUGGAGAUAUCCCUCUAGCCCACAGACAUUACUGAUGCAACCGCCAAGUAUUUCUUUUGAAAAUUCCAAGACUGAUUCUUAUUCUACAUGAUUUCAGGAAAACACAGUGAAGCCUCGUCCAGUCCAUGCCAGUCAGACAACCACACAGGCUGCUUUGCUAAAGGCACCCUUCAUGCACUCUCCAGCUCUGCCCAUUUUGCAAAGCAUUAUAGGUAAGUAAAUUACUGGUUCUUCUGUUUUACCACCUGUAAGGGAGGACUGGACAAAGACGAGUGUAACAGUAUAUGGUUGAAAGUAAGACUGCUAUAGGAUCACAGACGACAUUGUUUCCGGUCAAUAGCAAUCACAGGGCCUGUGACACUCGGAAAUAACCUUUCCAGUGAGACUUCAUGCAGCAGAGUGGCUUUUCAGUGUUUUUCUGAAAGACUUACAGAUGUGCCUGCUUUUUUUUUUUUUUGUGGUGUGUGUGUGUAUGUGUGUGUGUGUGUGUGUGUGUGUGUGUGCGUGUGCACAUGCACACGUGCAUGCACCAGAGGACCAUCCCAAAUAUCAUUUCUCAGGGGCCCUCCAUGUAUUUUUGAUAUAGGGUCACUCACUGGUCUGGAGCUCAAAAAUCAGGCUCAGCUGACUGGCCAGUGAGUCCCAGGAAUUCGCCUGUCUCUCCUGGGAUCACAGAGACACAUAAACGCACAGACCUGGCUUUUGAAAUGUGUGCUCUGGGGAUAGAGCUGAGGUCCUCAUUAGUGCAAGGCAGGUACUUCGCUGACGGCACCAUCUCCACCAUACUUAACUAUUUUAAUUUUUCAUUUGCAGACAUUAGGCCAAGAGUGAUGCUUAGUGAGUGACCUAUGUAAGGAAUGGAUCGGUGCUUUAAAGACAGCACAGUCAGCUGAAAUGUAACCAUAGGAAAACAACUAGUAAUGAGAGACAUGUCUCCUGUACCACAUAGGGGAUUCAAUACCUCAUCUACCCACGGACUGCUACCAAGUUUGGAGAAUUUGACCUGGGCCUCCAAGUGGUAGUGGGGAGUGGGGAAUAUUUGUGCUCUUGAGGCCAGUUUGAAUUGUAAGAGGCCAUUAAAAAGAAAACACCCAACAUCUCCUUCCCUACUGAGAACACUGGCCUACCCGUUAAGGUUUAGGUUCCUUAGCCUUUUGGUGCAGGAAUCAGUCUCCCUGGUGAGGCAUCCACUGAUGGCAACAGGCCUCUCUGAGAGGCAUAAUCAGAUCCUCGGGAAAACACGGCCAGUUUGCCUACCCAGGUACUUUCUGUCUCUUGUAUUUCCAAGUCCUUACAUUUAUCCAAAAUUCAUGAGAAUGGAAGGCUCAGUAACAAAUUUUUACUGGUGGGAAAUUUUAAGGUUUCUAUGAUAAACAUUUACUGCAUGAAGUUUACUAAAUCCGGUAAAAUCAGGUUUUCUUAUGUGGAUAUGAAAAAAAAAUAAUGCCUGAAUGUUGUUUGCUACAAGGUGCAUAUUUUAAAUUUAAAUUUUAGCCACUUAGUUUAUUAAAAUAUAGUGCUGAUUUGUGUAACAGAUUUGAAUUUUCAUUUAAUAUUAAAAACCCUGACACUAAUUUGGACACAGCACCCUUCCAUUUUUUCAAGUUUUAAAUUCAGCCUAACUGGAUUCUUCCUUAGAUAAAGAGCCACAAGGACUCAUUCUUGAAGGUCACGGGGAUAGAGAAUGAAGCUAACACAGUCGUCCUCCAGGGACCUGUUUUUCUGCGGCACUCUAUGAGAAAAUUUGAUACUGUUGGAAGGUCUUGGGAAAACCAGAUAAAACAGAAUCAAGAUAAAACAUCUUUCGAAUAGCGCGGAUAUGAUUAAAGUCAGGAUCUGGGAUCUGUGUGAAUAUAAAUCCCAGUGUUAUGAUUAGCAGGCCGGGGAGAUGGCUCAGUGGAUAAAGGGCCUACCAUACAUGUGUGAGGACAGGAAUUCAGAUUCCCAGAGCCCUUACAAAAGUCCAGCAGACUUGGGGCUCACCUCUAAUCCCAGGGCACGGAGGCUCUGACAUGAACUGCUCAUGAGCAAGCUGGCAAAUCACUGAGCUCUGGUUUAGACUGAGAGAUCAUGCCUCAAUGAAUACGGUGUGGCCCAAUUAAGGAAGACUCCCAAAAUCAACCUCUGUCUUCUAUAAACAUAUGCACACAUGUGUACCUCUCACAUGCCACACAGACACAAGGUAAGAGACUGACACUAAAUUUACAGCAUUGCAUUGCAGAACCCAAUGCACUCUUUUACAAAAAGAUUUACUUUAUUUUCAGUGUCUGUCUCUCUCUCUCUGAGGUAUAUGAGCAUAUGAGAAAGGGUGUCCAUGAGGUCAAUGUCUUUGGAUCCUGAGUGAUCCUGAGUGGCUGUAAGUCAUCUGACAUGAGCUCUAGGAACCGAACUCAAACUUUUAAGUUCAGUUUGCUAUCACUUCCUGGAAGGCUUUUUGUACUAUCCCAGUGUGGUGGUUUGAAUAAGAACGGCCCUGCAGGCUCAUCUGUUUAAAUGUUUAGUCAUGAGAGAGUGGUACUACUUGGUUUCUAGGAAGCCUGGUCUUAUUGGAGGAAGUGUGUCACUGGGGAUGGGCUUUAAGGUCUCAAAUGCUCAAGGCAGGCCCAAGGUUCGCUCCCUCUUCCUGCUUGCUGCUAAUAGAACUCUGUUACUUCUCCAGCAUCAUGUCUGCCUGCGUUCCCACCUGCAGACGUCUUCCAUGGUGAUAAUGGACUAAAAUUCCGACCUGUUAGCCAUCCUCAAUCAAAUGCUUCCAUUCAUAAGAGUUGCAGUGGUUAUGGUGACUCUUCGCAGCAACUGAAGCCCUAAGACACCCAGGUAUCCCUUUCUGCUCUGAGGACCUAUGAUGGUAAAUGUUUCUCUUAUCUUCUCUACUUACUAGAAUGAGACAGUGUCAACUCUCAGCGUGGCCCAAUUUAGAAACACCUGGGAAGAAAGUCUCAAAGAUUGUCUAGCUCAUCGUAGACUGUGGGGAUUGCCUGGGAUCGCUAACCUAUAAGGAGGUCUCAGCCCACUGUGAGCAGCACUAUUCCCUAUGUUUGGCUACUGAAUUGUGUAACAGUGGAGAAAGUGAAGUGAGUAUAAUCAUGCAUGCACUCACACUCUUGAUUGAGGAUGUGACAAGGUGUCUCAAGUUCCUGUCUUGGUUUUCCUGAAAGGAGGAACUGUAACCCAAAAUUGUGAGCUCAAAUAAACCCUGUUUCUCCUCUUACACCAAGUUGCUUUUAUUACACAAAGUCAGGUGAACUAAAACAAUAGCCUCUGUAUUCAUCUCCCCCCUUGCUAAAUAAUGAGCUCUUUAUAUCUAACUCUGUUAAAGAUCUCUGUGCCUUCAGGCGUACCUUAUAGUACCACAUAUACAUCAUAAGUAAGUUUUCUUUGGUAGGCAUCUAUGUAUGUGUAUGUGCACAUGAGUGUGAAGGCCAGAGGUCAGCUUUGGCUAUUGUUCCUAGGUACUGUUUGCCUUUUUUCUGAUACAUGGUUUCUGGAUGGUUACAAAAGCUACCAAUUCAACUAGGCUUGCUGGCCAGCGAACCCCAGGGAUCCACUUGCCUCUGUCUCCCCAGAGCUGAGAUCCCAAGUGUGCAUCACUACAUUCAACACUUUAACGUGAAUCCUGGGAUUCAAGCUCAGGCCCUCACGUUUGCAAGGCAAGCAUUUACACACUGAGCUAUAUUGCCAGCCCCUUGGUGACUUUUGGUUAACAUAAUGAAGCCAUACACGCUAGCUGAACUGUGAUUAUGCCUGGAAAGCCUUGGCAGGCAUUCUGAGCACACGCAUCAUGCUUUUAAUGAAAAAAAAAAAAAAAACCCUCUAUUGCAAGGGCAGACAGUGACAAGCAGGUCAUAGGGCAGCUGACCCCCCUCCCCCCGCAGAAGACUGGGCAAUCCAUAAUGUUGCAGGGCAAUUAAAUUGGGAGAAUGGCCAAGAUUAGAAACCAGAGCUGAUGUUCUUAAAGCCUUGUAUGGCCAACUCCUUUAAACUGUAAAGCAUUAGUGACACCUGUCCACCAUCUCCACAGGAGACCCUUGGGCCCAAGUCCAUUACUCCAUUUCCUUGAUUCCUCCCACGGCCCAGCAUGCAGAGUCACCUGAGUAAAGGGCAUCAGAAUGUUUCACCUUUCCUGGGGAGAUGAUGGUUCAUAUGGCGCAAGCUAUGCUUUUGGAAGGAACUUGUCCAUAUUUGGCUGUUGUCUAGGUUUAAGAGGCUAUGAAGAACAGGAAAGUGGGUGCCUUCUAUUUAUACCUUAAAAUCUAAAGGAAAAGUACUGGGUGGGGUAGAUUCAAACUUGCACCGAGGAAGAAGCAAGGCAGCACGUGACGCUGUGGCUGAAGACGUUCCCCCAAAGAAAGCACUCCCCACAGCUACAGACAGGGAUUCAGUGAGUCUGAGAUUGAGGCCCCAUGCCAGGUUAUACGGGCACCAGGCAGAAAGAUGGCAAAAGAAAACACUGUGAAACAGAACAAACAAUAGCAAGAUCAACAAAACAGAACUUUAAGAGGAGAAAAAUUUCCCCUAAUCAUACUGACUUCGUGGAAGUGUGAAAUUUAGAUGUUUAUCUUCUCAUCCGCCAGAUACGGAACCCUGUUUGUACAUGUGUAUACAUAUUCAUGAGUGCAGGUGUACGUGUGCAGAGGGGGUUCAUGUUCACAUGUCCAAGUGCUUGUGAUGUUUCACGGGUAUGUGUAGGAACAUGUGUAUGUGAGUGCGCAUGUGAAGUUCCACGUGAGUCAGGGAUUAUGUGUGUGUGGGGGGAGGGGGCUAUGUCUGUGUGUGGGAUACAUGUGAAGGAACAUGUGUAUGCAUAGAUGCAUGUGUGUGCAUAUGCACAUAUGAAGCAGAAUGUGUAUACAUAGAUGCAUGUGUGUGCAUAUGCACAUAUGUAGCUGUAUAUGUGGAAGCCAGGGGUUAACUUCAGUUCUUAUUCCUCAGGAUACCAUUGGGUUUUUUUUGUUUGUUUGUUUUGUUUUUUGUUUUUUGGCUUUUUUGAGAAAGGAUCUCUCACUGAAGCAAAUAGGCUAACCUAGCUAACCAGCAAUCCUUAAAGGGAAAACCCUUUUUCUGCCUUCGUAGUACUGGAGUUAUAAGCAAGUCACCACACAACAUUUUUACAUGGAUUCUGAGAUUUGAACUCAGGAUCCAUUCCUUGCUUGCAUGGCAAACACUUUUCCAAUUGAGCCUCCUCCCCAGCACACAGGCAUAGUCCUCCCCAGCACACAGGCAUAGUCCUCCCCAGCACACAGGCAUAGUCCUCCCCAGUACACAGGCAUAGUCCUCCCCAGCACACAGGCAUAGUCCUCCCCAGCACACAGGCAUAGUCCUCCCCAGCACACAGGCAUAGUCCUCCCCAGCACACAGGCAUAGUCCUCCCCAGCACACAGGCAUAGUCCUCCCCAGCACACAGGCAUAGUCCUCCCCAGCACACAGGCAUAGUCCCUUAAGGAUCUUCUGCAUCCCUACCCCGUGAUCUACGCUGCAAUCACAUCAUCUCUGAAGCCAUCCCUGUCUACCUCCUCUCAGCAAGCAAUACACUCAUCCCACAGGUUCCCUGGGUCAUUAAUUCACCCAACAGCCAUCAAGGAUUACUUCUGUUUAUGCUAUAUGUGGGAGGACUGAAAAAUUUGUGUAGCAUGGGUCUUGGCCCUGAGAAAAUAUAAAGGCUCAGUCAAUUAAGCAGAGAGUCUAGGUCUCAGAAUAUCUGCACCUUCCACAGCAGCAAUGACCAUACUACUCCAACCACAGUAUUUCAUCCAUGCACAGGAUUGUGGAACAGAGCUAAGCACCCUCAUCAUUGCACAGCACCUGAGUCUCUGCACAGGCACAGCUAUUUAAAAAAAAAAAAAAAAAAAAAAAAAGGCCUCUCAUUUGCUUUAAGAAUAAAUAGUAGCUCUGCUGAGAUGGUUAAAGAGUGUGCCAUGCAAGCCUGAGAACUGGAACUCAGACCCUCAGAAACCCAUGUAAAUGCUGUUUGGCUCCUGUAAUUCCAGCCUCAGAAGGUAGUGAUAGGAGCUCUCCAGAGCAAACUGAUUGGCAACACUGUCCCGACACUCAAUCUCUAGAGAUGACUGAAAGUCUGCCUCGAUGACUAAGGUGAAGGAGCAAUUGAAGAUGAAGAUUUCUGACCUCAACCUUGGGGCCACACAUGUUCACAAACAUAUGCACAUAUAUCUGUGUGUGUGAAUGUGUGCAAUAUGGGCAGCAGUCUAGAAAACAUUUUGUAGCAUAUUUAGAAAUAUUAUUCAACAAAGGCUGGGAUUUAGAAGAGAAGAAUGUGGACAUCAACAUCGAUAGAGAAGUGAAAAGGAGCAGCUGACACACACACGCAC